CAUGGCUCUUGAUAGGAAGGUGUGGAGGUCGAGCAUUAGGGUUGUAGGUUAAAGGGUAGUCGAGCGGUUUUUCUCUUUGUCCCGGUUUCCCUCUUUGUACCGACGAGUAUGAUAGUGUUUUGUCUAGCACUGCUAGCGAUUUAUGAUGUGUUUCACACUUUUGCAUAAUAUUUGUGUUACUGCUUUUCCAUUUAUUUGUUGUCUCUCACGUUGCUGAUAUUAUUUUUCGGGUUUUGUUGUCACAGAUCUAUUGUUUCUGAACCGAGGGUCUCCCGGAAACAACCUCUCUACUCCCCUCUGGGGUAGGGGUAAGAAAUGCCGUAUCCUGAGAAUAUGGAGUUGGUUUUCAUAUACUCUGCAUUCGUUAAAGGAGAUCAGACAUACUUCAGCAUUGACUCUUCUGGUGAUUUGGAAGGGACGCAGCUAUAUCCACAAAUAACAUACACCACAAUAAGCGAGUUUCUGGACGCCUUGUUGUAAUAUUUGUUGCAUACUACUCUUCUAACCAAAUAAGUGUAUUCCUUCCUUCUAUUGAUGCAUUAUAAACCUAGAGAUGCACUAGAUUCCAACUUGGUUCGAUUACUCGACGUGCAAUCUUCCUUGACUCUUAUAGGUGCUCUUUUCUAUGGAAUCAUUGGUUUCUGUAUGGCUCCUUACUGGUAAUAUUAGUUGUUUUUGCUUUAAGAA